rnacentral:rRNA from 1 species
AUUGAACGCUGGCGGCAGGCCUAACACAUGCAAGUCGAACGAGUGGCGGACGGGUGAGUAAUGUCUGGGAAACUGUCCGUUGGCGGGGGAUCACUACUGGAAACGGUUGCUAAUACCGCAUACCAUCGGAUGUGCCCAGAUGGGAUUAGCUGGUCGGUGGGGUAACGGCUCACCUAGGCGACGAUCCCUAGCUGGACUGAGAGGAUGACCAGCCACACUGGGACUGAGACACGGUCCAGACUCCUACGGGAGGCAGCAGUGGGGAAUAUUGCACAAUGGGCGCAAGCCUGACUCAGCCAUGCCGCGUGAAUGAAGAAGGCCUUCGGGUUGUAAAGUACUUUCAGCGAGGAGGCGUUACUCACAGAAGAAGCACCGGCUAACUCCGUGCCAGCAGCCGCGGUAAUAC